UGUGUCAAGGUUUACGUGCCAUCCAGA
rnacentral:sRNA from 1 species